rnacentral:lncRNA from 1 species
UGAAGGUUAGAGAGACUAAAAUCAGCAUAAGAAUUUGAGCUCAAAUGUUUGAGUUGAGACCCUGUGAACUGAACACCAGACAGGUAGCCUACCUGUUUUCAUGCUCUCUUAUAGCACAGUGUGGCUAAUCACUUUUGAGCAAUAGAUCCUACCUGGGUUGAAGUGAAGAGGGAGUUUUGCUCCUAUAAUUUCAGGAGAUCCUUGGAUACACAUACUAUUGCAAAUAGAUGGCAUUUUAUUAGGAAAGGGGUUAUCAGGACUCCCUAGAGACCUCCCUUUAACAGCCAAGAAGGGGAACAGUCUUAUUUGACUGCCAUUUUCCAUCAGUCACUAUGAAAUCUAAAUUCUAAUCAUGAUACCAUACAAGGUUUAAUGCCACCAGUGAGAUAGAUGUUUAAGAGCUCCGUGAGGCACUAUUUGAGAUUUUUAAAAUACAAAACUAUGGAAAGGGUAAUAAAUGGUUGUGAAUCUAUGUUUGAAACUUAACCUAUUUUUCUGAAAUUGCUGACUGCUGUGGUUUGAAAAUGGUUUGUUUUCCCCAAAGGCUUAUGAGCUGGAGGUUUGGUUCCCAAUGUAACAGUGUUGAGGGGGUAGAACUUUUAAGAGGUGGGGCCCUGUGGGAGGUAAUUAGGUCUUGGGAGCUCCACCUUCUUGAAUGGAUUAAUGCUUUCUCUCUUGGAAGUGGACCAGAUCCCACAUGGAUGGAUUAGUUUCCAUGACAGUGGGUUUUCAUGAAAAGAACGAGCCUUGGCCAAUCCGUCCCCCCCCCCCCCACUCCUUUCUUGCUUCUUCAUUCACACAUGUAUCCCUCUGCUCAAGGCCGGCUCCCUUUCUUCCUGUCAUGUCCAGGGGACCCUUGCCAGGAUUCUAGCACCAUGUUGUCUGGGUCCUGCAGGCACUAGAAUCAUGAGUCAAUAAAGCGCUUUACUUUUUAAAGUUCCUAGACUUAGGUAUUUUGUUAUCGCAACACAAAACAGGCAAAGAUACUGAUUGUAAGAGUUUAAGUCAAGUGAUUUAAACUACCUCUGAUAAAGUUUCCAGUCAAUUUCAUGUUGUUCAUAUACCAUUUCAUUUACUUCUUAAGUACAUAGGAGACAUACAUGAGGGGAAAAAGUGUACUUAUCUCUUUUAAUGAUACUAUAAAAGAUGGUGAAAUAUUUAAUAGAAAG